UACGUAGGAUCCAAGCGUUGUCCGGAUUUACUGGGUGUAAAGGGUGCGCAGGCGGACUGGUGAGUCUGGGGUGAAAUCUCGCUGCUUAACAGCGAAACUGCCUUAGAUACUAUCAGUCUUGAAUCAGCGAGAGGUUCGUGGAAUUCCGAGUGUAGCAGUGAAAUGUGUAGAUAUUCGGAAGAACACCAGUGGCGAAGGCAGCGAACUGGCGCUCGAUUGACGCUCAGGCACGAAAGCAUGGGGAUCAAGCAGG
rnacentral:rRNA from 1 species